rnacentral:rRNA from 1 species
CCUACGGGGGGCUGCAGUGGGGAAUAUUGCACAAUGGGCGCAAGCCUGAUGCAGCCAUGCCGCGUGUGUGAAGAAGGCCUUCGGGUUGUAAAGCACUUUCAGCGGGGAGGAAGGCGGUGAGGUUAAUAACCUCAUCGAUUGACGUUACCCGCAGAAGAAGCACCGGCUAACUCCGUGCCAGCAGCCGCGGUAAUACGGAGGGUGCAAGCGUCAAUCGGAAUUACUGGGCGUAAAGCGCACGCAGGCGGUCUGUCAAGUCGGAUGUGAAAUCCCCGGGCUCAACCUGGGAACUGCAUUCGAAACUGGCAGGCUAGAGUCUUGUAGAGGGGGGUAGAAUUCCAGGUGUAGCGGUGAAAUGCGUAGAGAUCUGGAGGAAUACCGGUGGCGAAGGCGGCCCCCUGGACAAAGACUGACGCUCAGGUGCGAAAGCGUGGGGAGCAAACAGGAUUAGAUACCCCGGUAGUC